AGAGUUUGAUCCUGGCUCAGGAUGAACGCUAGCGACAGGCUUAACACAUGCAAGUCGAGGGGCAGCACAGGUAGCAAUACCGGGUGGCGACCGGCGCACGGGUGAGUAACGCGUAUGCAACUUGCCUAUCAGAGGGGGAUAACCCGGCGAAAGUCGGACUAAUACCGCAUGAAGCAGGGGCCCCGCAUGGGGAUAUUUGCUAAAGAUUCAUCGCUGAUAGAUAGGCAUGCGUUCCAUUAGGCAGUUGGCGGGGUAACGGCCCACCAAACCGACGAUGGAUAGGGGUUCUGAGAGGAAGGUCCCCCACAUUGGUACUGAGACACGGACCAAACUCCUACGGGAGGCAGCAGUGAGGAAUAUUGGUCAAUGGCCGAGAGGCUGAACCAGCCAAGUCGCGUGAGGGAUGAAGGUUCUAUGGAUCGUAAACCUCUUUUAUAAGGGAAUAAAGUGCGGGACGUGUCCCGUUUUGUAUGUACCUUAUGAAUAAGGAUCGGCUAACUCCGUGCCAGCAGCCGCGGUAAUACGGAGGAUCCGAGCGUUAUCCGGAUUUAUUGGGUUUAAAGGGUGCGUAGGCGGCCUUUUAAGUCAGCGGUGAAAGUCUGUGGCUCAACCAUAGAAUUGCCGUUGAAACUGGGGGGCUUGAGUAUGUUUGAGGCAGGCGGAAUGCGUGGUGUAGCGGUGAAAUGCAUAGAUAUCACGCAGAACCCCGAUUGCGAAGGCAGCCUGCCAAGCCAUUACUGACGCUGAUGCACGAAAGCGUGGGGAUCAAACAGGAUUAGAUACCCUGGUAGUCCACGCAGUAAACGAUGAUCACUAGCUGUUUGCGAUACACUGUAAGCGGCACAGCGAAAGCGUUAAGUGAUCCACCUGGGGAGUACGCCGGCAACGGUGAAACUCAAAGGAAUUGACGGGGGCCCGCACAAGCGGAGGAACAUGUGGUUUAAUUCGAUGAUACGCGAGGAACCUUACCCGGGUUUGAACGCAUUCGGACCGAGGUGGAAACACCUUUUCUAGCAAUAGCCGUUUGCGAGGUGCUGCAUGGUUGUCGUCAGCUCGUGCCGUGAGGUGUCGGCUUAAGUGCCAUAACGAGCGCAACCCUUGCCACUAGUUACUAACAGGUGAUGCUGAGGACUCUGGUGGGACUGCCAGCGUAAGCUGCGAGGAAGGCGGGGAUGACGUCAAAUCAGCACGGCCCUUACAUCCGGGGCGACACACGUGUUACAAUGGCGUGGACAAAGGGAGGCCACCUGGCGACAGGGAGCGAAUCCCCAAACCACGUCUCAGUUCGGAUCGGAGUCUGCAACCCGACUCCGUGAAGCUGGAUUCGCUAGUAAUCGCGCAUCAGCCAUGGCGCGGUGAAUACGUUCCCGGGCCUUGUACACACCGCCCGUCAAGCCAUGGGAGCCGGGGGUACCUGAAGUCCGUAACCGCGAGGAUCGGCCUAGGGUAAAACUGGUGACUGGGGCUAAGUCGUAACAAGGUAGCCGUACCGGAAGGUGCGGCUG
rnacentral:rRNA from 1 species